UGAUGACCAAAACCUCCUAGCUUGCUUGAUCACACCACCAAGGAAUGGAAUAGUUAGGGGUAUUAGCAGAAGGGCUAGUAAAGGCUGAUAAAAGAGUGUGAUGCGGAGGUAGGUAGGGUGCAAAGGCGAACUGAGGAGACGCUAGCCUGCAGAAUAAUGCGAUGUGAGGUGAAUUUUAACUGUUUGAGCAUGAUUUUCUGCUUUAUGCAUUUUCAAUGGAGAGGAGGGUUGACUGGGGAAAGCAAGCUAUUUCUGGUGAGGGAGCGUCCACCCCCGGAAACCCCCUAGAUACGUCACUGCCCAGUGCAACCUGUGUGUCCAGGGCAGUUUAUCGAGACAAGCUGUAAUCAUUUCUGCACAGACCAAUAAGGAACACAAGCAAAAUCUAUUUUUUCCUAUUCUGGAUGAAUUAAUAACAUUUUAUUUUGUGAAUAUAUGUGUUUUUAAAGGAAAGAAUCAAAAAGUGUGUAAUUUUUGCAAUAUUGCUGAACUAAUUGUAUUGCAAUUGGCACAACACAAAACUAUCCUGUCCCCUUGUCAAAUUUAAAAAAAUGGAAUAACAUAGUGGAGAGCAUCUGCUCUGAAGACAGGCAUUAAAUGAUGAUGGAUUAUAUUUCAGCUAUUGUUAAAAUAUCACUGAACUCAAUGUAUAUAGUUUAAUUGACAUAACACCAAAUCACUCCUACCCUGACAGAAGCCAAUUAAACAACAUACAGUACUAUUGAAUGUCAGCUUAGGAGACAAAAGGCGGAAACCGAUGAUGGAUUGUACCAUGUAUCACAUGAUAUGUUAUGAAUAUGUUUACGUUGCUCGCAUUUGGAUAUUUUUAUUAAUAUGCCGUAAAUGUGUACUGUUUCAGAAAUGACCGUAGGGUGUGACAGCUACAGAUUUUAUUGUUUACACUGCAAGAUUUUAGUAAUCAUUACUUCGCUUUCGUCCUAAAGAAAUUGAAUCUCUGCAUACUUGAGAAACUUUGGUCUAUUAGCAGUGGCUUCCAAGAGAGUAUCAAUUAUCUAGGUUGAGUUCUAAUAUAACUCCCGUAUAAUAUUAAAACAAACUUCGAUUCCAUGGCACUUUUGAAUUUUGAAACUUAUUUCAAAUCCUUUAUAACAUAACUUGUAUCAAAUUCUUCUGUCAUGCAUUAUUCAUGUAAAUUACUGUAUUGUCAAUAUUUUAAGAAAUUGUUUUUAAUUAUGUUGCUUUAAUAGUUUUCUUUUCUUUCCUUUUUUUGUUAAUGCUGAACUACUGUACUUUGGUAUGUUUUAUUACUGAAAAUGUUAUUUUAGUAUAAAGACAGAAUAAAUAAAUAUGGUUAAACGGAAUUUAACCCGGUUGAUUCCAAUUCUAAUAUAUGGGUAUUUUAAUUUUCUUUAUUUUAAAUAUUUAAUUUUUGACAUUUAAAUUGGGUAUUAGUUUUAAAUUUUCAAAAAGUAAAGAAUAUUGUCAUUUAUUUUGAUAAUUAUGUAAAUGAUAAUGAUAAUAAUUUGGUAUACUAUGUUUAUCCUGAUUGCCAUGUUUGAAAAGAAAUGAUGGAAUAUCACCAUCAGGAUCAAUGAUAAUCUGUUUGUUUUAGUGCUACUAAAACACUCAUGUUUAACUCUCCUCAAAUGCUCAACAAAGUUCCGUAAUAACCCGCUGUAAAUAAAAACGCAUCGCUAUUAUGAUUAAAACUAUAGUUGAAUGAUUACUUAAUGGAAAAAAACUCCUGUCACAUUGCUAUACUAAGUAUAAUCACGUAUGACUUCACGAUUCCCACGUUGCCAGAAUUUUUUUUCAGCAUAUUUACGAGCUACUUCACAUUGUUUAUAACGCAUCUUUACCGUCUGUGCGAUUCUCUCAGAGCGUGCAUCUCCUUGGCGUGCUUUGUUGAUCGGCUUUGUGUUUGAGUGCUUCGUGAUUUAUUCCCAGCUCUUUGACACUUUUACAAUUUAUUUAAAAAAAUAACUGUUUGCUUUUAAACAUGAGAGAAUUACGCUAUAUAAUCUUUGCCACAUACCAGUGGUUGUCCGUUUUUUAGGUUAAUUUUUUUUACUUGCGGUAUAGAUCAGCAUGUACACUAAUAUUAUUUUACUAUGUUUGCUAAUAAAAAUAUUUGGAUUGUAUAAUUGUAACGUUAUAGUGGUGAUAAUCAAUUCCAAUGCAUACAGCUGACUUCAAUUGGAUUAGGUAAUGCAGCGGUCCGUUUUAUCUCUUAAGGCAACAAAACAUGCAAUAUAAUGUAGGUAUAGGCAUACUGCAGUGAGUUAAUCUAGGUCUAUUGCAUGAAGAAAAUGAAACUAGGUCUACACCAGCAAAAUAUACUGUAUAUACAGUUGAAUUGCUGAGUGUAAUGCCCGUUUCUGUUUUAAGCCUAAUGGUCACAAAUUUGCCGAUCACCUCAUUAUCUCUAUACAUCAACUACGCCAUUAAACUACCAAAGAGUUAACAGCAAGCGCCGAGUGACAUUAUUCUGUCUUUCUGAGCCCAGAAGCAAAGCGUGAGAUGAUAAUUGAAUUAAACAUAGGGUACCCGAGUCCAGCAAUUUAAAUUUCUUUCCAUUUGUAAGAUAUUGAGUUUGUAGCCAGUGUAAUUUUGAAGAGGUUGUUAGCCUAGCUUUGCCUUCACAUUCUCAAAUAUUAUCACUUCCACUUUUUUUUAAACCAAUCAUUGGUUAAUUUAUUGCAUCAUAUAGUAGCCUUUAUUACUUAGCAAUAUUGCAAAUAUAUUUGAUUGUAAAGUUUUGUAAAGAUUAUAAUAAUAAAAAUAUAAAAGUUUGUUUCUCA
rnacentral:lncRNA from 1 species